AUUGAACGCUGGCGGCAGGCCUAAUACAUGCAAGUCGAGCGGACGAAGGGAGCUUGCUCCUGGCUUCAGUGGCGGACGGGCGAGUAAUGCCCACGAAUCUGCCCUGCCUAUGGGGAUAACGUCCGUUAACGGGCGCUAAUCUCGCACCCGAUCAGAGGUUGAACGGGGGGGAUCUUCGGACAUCACGCGACCUGCUGUGCCUAGGACGCAUUAGCUAGUUGGUGAGGUAAAGGCCUACCAAGGCGACGAUCCGUAGCUGGUCUGAGAGGAUGAUCAGUCACACUGGAACUGAGACACGGUCCAGACUCCUACGGGAGGCAGCAGUGGGGAAUAUUGGGCAAUGGGCGAAAGCCUGAUCCAGCCAUGCCGCGUGUGUGAUGAAGGUCUUCGGAUUGUAAAGCACUUUAAGUUGGGAGGAAGAGAAGUAAGUUAAUCCCUUGCUGUUUUGACGUUACCAACAGAAUAAGCACCGGCUAACUUCGUG
rnacentral:rRNA from 1 species